UUAAAAGUUAAAAAAAAAACAAAAACGAUUACAAUAUAUCAAACAAAAUGGAAAGUAAAUGAUGAAAUCAAUUAUCAAAGCGUCUAUUCAUAAUUCUAUGUUAAUGGAUAAUAUUGCACGUGCAGUGGACGAAUUUGUGUGUUUAAUAACAUAAUUUUUCGGGAACUUUUCAUCAUGAGAAAGUGGCGACAAUGAAGAUAUGAAAAUAGAGUAGUUACAAUGUUUUUGAUUUCUAUGAGCCCAAAAUUCCCGACAGAAACAGAAUCAAUCAAAUUUUUUGUAAGCAAAUGCUUCUUUUCCAAUGCCAACGCUGUAGACUACUAUUCAUUGGGAGAUUCAGCAUAUCCAUGUAAAAGUAUUUACUCUCGCCACAGAGGAAUAAAAAGUUGAGCUGUUUUUGUGUUGCUAUAGAGCACACAUUGGGCAUUUUUAAACAGAGAUUUAGACCAUUGUAUUAGUGUAAAUUGCGUGGAGUUAAAACAUUUUGCUUAACAUGAAAAGUGGACCUGAAA